AGGCCAGACUCCUACGGGAGGCAGCAGUGAGGAAUAUUGGUCAAUGGCCGGAAGGCUGAACCAGCCAUGCCGCGUGAAGGUCAGUGCCCUAUGGGCGUUAAACUUCUUUUGUGCGGGAGCAAUAAUGGUCACGUGUGGCCAGACGAGAGUACCGUACGAAUAAGCAUCGGCUAACUCCGUGCCAGCAGCCGCGGUAAUACGUAGGUGGCAGGCGUUAUCCGGAUUUACUGGGUGUAAAGGGCGUGUAGGCGGGGACGCAAGUCAGAUGUGAAAACCAUGGGCUCAACCUGUGGCCUGCAUUUGAAACUGUGUUUCUUGAGUACUGGAGAGGCAGACGGAAUUCCUAGUGUAGCGGUGAAAUGCGUAGAUAUUAGGAGGAACACCAGUGGCGAAGGCGGUCUGCUGGACAGCAACUGACGCUGAGGCGCGAAAGCGUGGGGAGCAAACAGGAUUAGAUACCCCAGUA
rnacentral:rRNA from 1 species